AGUGAACGCUGGCGGUAGGCCUAACACAUGCAAGUCGAACGGCAGCACAGUAAGAGCUUGCUCUUACGGGUGGCGAGUGGCGGACGGGUGAGGAAUAAAUCGGAAUCUACUUUUUCGUGGGGGAUAACGUAGGGAAACUUACGCUAAUACCGCAUACGACCUACGGGUGAAAGCAGGGGAUCUUCGGACCUUGCGCGAUUGAAUGAGCCGAUGUCGGAUUAGCUAGUUGGCGGGGUAAAGGCCCACCAAGGCGACGAUCCGUAGCUGGUCUGAGAGGAUGAUCAGCCACACUGGAACUGAGACACGGUCCAGACUCCUACGGGAGGCAGCAGUGGGGAAUAUUGGACAAUGGGCGCAAGCCUGAUCCAGCCAUACCGCGUGGGUGAAGAAGGCCUUCGGGCUGUAAAGCCCUUUUGUUGGGAAAGAAAAGCAGCAGGUUAAUACCCCGCUGUUCUGACGGUACCCAAAGAAUAAGCACCGGCUAACUUCGUG
rnacentral:rRNA from 1 species